rnacentral:rRNA from 1 species
UACGAAGGGGGCUAGCGUUGUUCGGAAUUACUGGGCGUAAAGCGCGCGCAGGUGGUUCUUCAAGUCAGGGGUGAAAGCCCAGGGCUCAACCCUGGAAUGGCCUUUGAGACUAGAGGACUUGGGUACGGGAGAGGUGAGUGGAAUUCCGAGUGUAGAGGUGAAAUUCGUAGAUAUUCGGAAGAACACCAGUGGCGAAGGCGGCUCACUGGCCCGUUACCGACACUCAGGCGCGAUAGCGUGGGGAGCAAACAGG